UACGAAGGGGGCUAGCGUUGCUCGGAAUUACUGGGCGUAAAGGGAGCGUAGGCGGACAGUUUAGUCAGAGGUGAAAGCCCAGGGCUCAACCUUGGAAUUGCCUUUGAUACUGGCUGUCUUGAGUACGGGAGAGGUGUGUGGAACUCCGAGUGAUAGAGGUGAAAUUCGUAGAUAUUCGGAGGAACACCAGUGGCGAAGGCGGCUCACUGGCUCGGUACUGACGCUGAGGUGACGAAAGCGUGGGGAGCAAACAGG
rnacentral:rRNA from 1 species